GCUGCUAUAUUCACUAGAGCGCAGCACCCCCUGCAUUGUGUAUUCAGACCGAGCGCCAUACAUACAGGUACAAUGCUGGUGUUGACCCUUCAUGAUAAAAGGACAUGUUCCAUGCUCUUACUACAAUGUAUGGGCAGGAAGAAAUUCCUGCACAAGGGUUUGUACCAGGCCUGCUGGGAACAUCAGAUGGAGCCCUGCAGUUCAUGGCCUACAAGAAACUGAAAAUGGACUUUACAAGCAUUUCCAUCGACCCAGUGACACAAAACCGGAAAGAAGAGUUCCAUGGAGUCUACUAGAGCAAUGUCUUCAGCAUUAUCCCAGAGACCUCCGCCUGCGGAAUCACCUUAUUAGCUUCAAUUCUACUUUC